AUUGAACGCUGGCGGCAGGCCUAACACAUGCAAGUCGAGCGGAUGAAGGGAGCUUGCUCCUGGAUUCAGCGGCGGACGGGUGAGUAAUGCCUAGGAAUCUGCCUGGUAGUGGGGGAUAACGUCCGGAAACGGGCGCUAAUACCGCAUACGUCCUGAGGGAGAAAGUGGGGGAUCUUCGGACCUCACGCUAUCAGAUGAGCCUAGGUCGGAUUAGCUAGUUGGUGGGGUAAAGGCCUACCAAGGCGACGAUCCGUAACUGGUCUGAGAGGAUGAUCAGUCACAUUGGAAGUGAGACACGGUCCAGACUCCUACGGGAGGCAGCAGUGGGGAAUAUUGGACAAUGGGCGAAAGCCUGAUACAGCCAUGCCGCGUGUGUGAAGAAGGUCUUCGGAUUGUAAAGCACUUUAAGUUGGGAGGAAGGGCAGUAAGUUAAUACCUUGCUGUUUUGACGUUACCAACAGAAUAAGCACCGGCUAACUUCGUG
rnacentral:rRNA from 1 species